AGGCGCGUAGCUCAGUUGGUAGAGCGCUAGCUCGACACGCUAGAAGUCGUUGGUUCAAGUCCAAUCGCGCCUACCA
rnacentral:tRNA from 1 species